AUUGAACGCUGGCGGCAGGCCUAACACAUGCAAGUCGAGCGGAGCGGCGGACGGGCGAGUAAUUCCUAGGUAUCUGCCUGGUAGUUGGGGACUACGUCCGGAAAUGGGCGCUAAUUCCGCAUACUAUCAGCUGAGCCCAGGUCGGAUUAGCUAGUUGGUGGGGUAAAGGCCUAUCAAGGCGACGAUCCGUAACUGGUCUGUGAGGAUGAUCAGUCAGACGGGGAUUGAGACACGAACAAGACUCCAACGGGAGGAAGCAGUGGUGUAAAUUGGACCAUGGGCGAAAGCCUGAUCCAGCGAUGCCGCGUGUGUGAAGAAGGUCUUCUGAUUGGAAAGCACUUUAAGUUGGGAGGCGUUACCAACAGAAGAAGCACCGGCUAACUUCGUGCCAUCGGCCGCAGUAAUAG
rnacentral:rRNA from 1 species